AUUGAACGCUGGCGGCAGGCUUAACACAUGCAAGUCGAGCGGAGCGAGGGUGCUUGCACCUUAGCUUAGCGGCGGACGGGUGAGUAAUGCUUAGGAAUCUGCCUAUUAGUGGGGGAUAACUCGGGGAAACUCGGGCUAAUACCGCAUACGUCCUACGGGAGAAAGUGGGGGAUCUUCGGACCUCACGCUAACAGAUGAGCCUAGGUCGGAUUAGCUAGUAGGUGAGGUAAUGGCUCACCUAGGCGACGAUCCGUAACUGGUCUGAGAGGAUGAUCAGUCACACUGGAACUGAGACACGGUCCAGACUCCUACGGGAGGCAGCAGUGGGGAAUAUUGGACAAUGGGCGAAAGCCUGAUCCAGCCAUGCCGCGUGUGUGAAGAAGGUCUUCGGAUUGUAAAGCACUUUAAGUUGGGAGGAAGGGUAUUCACCUAAUACGUGGGUACUUUGACGUUACCAACAGAAUAAGCACCGGCUAACUCUGUGCCAGCCGCCGCAGUAACAC
rnacentral:rRNA from 1 species